rnacentral:lncRNA from 1 species
UUGAGUAUAAUCAUUGAAAAGAAAGAAAUUAAAGCAAAUUUUAUAACUUCAACUCUUUAUAUAUAUAUUCAUGCUUCAUGUUUCAGCUACAACAUUGCAGAGUUACAGCCAUGUACCUGGUAUUGAAAGCAAAAGAAGAGAGAGGAUCAGCAGAUGCAGCAGUAGCAUACAACAACAGCAACACCCAGCAACAGUAACAGAUUAACAACCAGCAGAAAUACAACCCAGCAACAACCAAUGGAACAGUGACCAAAUAACCAACCACACUCAGGAAGCACCAAAUGAAACCCCAGAAAUACCAACAAUCACAGGCAGAAACAGAGUGAACCAGAAACAAAAGAUGUAAUAGAACAAUUUUGAUUCUCUGUUCUUCAACACUAAAACAGAACAACCUCAGAAACUUCAAUGAAAACUGUAGCAAAUAUUAACACUGAUUCUCAGUAGUAAAGAAAGACCUCCCUUUGUAGUUGCUCUCAGCACUCUCUUUUAACGCUAAAAAAAACUCACUCUUCCUGGUCCAAAGUCAGUUUAUAUCCCACUCUUUAGUUCUGAAAUUCAGAUCUCAAAAACUCCUCCCCGCUUCAAGAAAAUGUCCCCCUUUUUAUUCCAUUCUCUAAUUUUCAAUCCCCUUUUUUUCCAAAUUUUCGGUCUUAGUGGGUAGUUAAUCAUUCUUAAAUUGGUCCUUUUAAAACAAAAAGUAGUCUUCCACUAAUAGUUAUCUACCAAUGAAUGAGCAAGAAAUAACAAUAUAAUGAACAACAAAGAGCAUGGAAUUAAACAAAAAACAAAAACGCAAUCAUUUGAACCAAUAAUAACACCAAAUAAUUACAUGAAUACAUGAAUUUAUACAGCCCAAAACACAAGCAUCAAUUAAUAUCAACUCGUGAAAUUUACCAAUUCUAAUUAUCUAGUUUUCCAAUUAUCAAAUAGAUACAGGACUAGAUGAACAUCAUGCCUAUCACCACAAAAAUCAAGCAACAAGUUAAAAAUGGGAAGUAGAUAAACCUGAAUUGCUUUCCAAUUAAAACAAAAUGAAGCAACUUUAAACGACUUUAAACGAAAUCAACAACAUCGAACACAUCUUCACUAUCAUCACUAUCCAGAUCUGAACUACUAAUAUAUUUCUCGUCCCCCUAACUUUCCUGCAUAUUUGCUUGCUUUGUCUUCUCUGUGACAGAUCAACACCCUUAACAACAUCAACAUCUAACUCAUCCCCAUUCUCGCUGGAUUCAUCAUCACUGGCGAUACGACGAAUAGGAGAAAGAGAGGCCGACAUGGGGCUGGACUUUUAGUUUGGAGUUGGUCGUUUAUUUGGGUGUCGUCUGGUUUCGAAGAAGAAGAAGAACGAAUGAACUGGUUGUUGGUUCGUUGGUUGGUUGACGGGGUUCAGUGUGGAGCUUCCUGGUGAGGUUGGAGACGAUGACGAAGGCUGGAGACGGACGAUUGGAGGGGUCAUUUUUGGUUUGGUGGCUGGCCGUGGCUGAGUGACUGGUUGAGCUAUGGUUGUCGGAGAUGGAACGUGAAGCAGCAGCAGGGUGGAUGAGGACAGAGAUGGAGGUCGUUUGGAGCGACAAACUGCUGGUCGUCGUGGAGGAGAUGAAGCAGUAGGUGGCGGGGUGUGUUUCUGUGGCUAUGGAGGUUGAAGAAGAAGGUGAAAGGCUAGGGUUUUGUUGUUUAUUAACUUAGAGAGGAAGAAGACCACAUAUUUGUCUUUCUACUGUGUA